GACGAAGGAUGGCAAGCGUUAUCCGGAUUCAUUGGGUUUAAAGGGAGCGUAGGUGGCCUUAUAAGUCAGUGGUGAAAUCCUCUCGGGCUUAACCGAGAAAUUGCCAUUGAUACUGUAGGGCUCGAGUAUAGUUGCCGUUGGCGGAAUAUGACAUGUAGUGGUGAAAUACAUAGAGAUGUCAUAGAACACCGAUUGCGAAGGCAGCUGACGAAACUAUAACUGACACUGAGGCUCGAAAGUGCGGGGAUCAAACAGG
rnacentral:rRNA from 1 species